ensembl:lncRNA
AUGAAACUGUCAACUGUCAGCCUCUCUCCUCCCCUCUCUAAUCAUAUCCUCUCCUCCCCUCUCUCUUCAUAUCCUCUCUCCUCCCCUCUCUCUUCAUAUCCUCUCUCCUCCCCUCUCUCUUCAUAUCCUCUCUCCUCCCCUCUCUCCUCCCCUCUCUUUUCAUAUCCUCUCGCCUCCCCUCUCUCUUCAUAUCCUCUCUCCUCCUCUCUCUCCUUCUCUCUCUCCUCCCCUCUCUCUUCAUAUCCUCUCUCCUCCCCUCUCUCCUUCUCUCUCUCCUCCCCUCUCUCUUCAUAUCCUCUCUCCUCCCCUCUCUCCUCCUCUCUCUCCUCCCCUCUCUCUUCAUAUCCUCUCUCAUCCUCUCUCUUCAUAUCCUCUCUCCUCCCCUCUCUCUCUCUCUUCAUAUCCUCUCUCCUCCUCUCUAUCCUCCUCUCUUCAUAUCCUCUCUCACUCCUCCUCUCUCUUCAUAUCCUCUCUCACUCCUCCUCUCUCUCCUUCUCUCUCUCCUCCCCUCUCUCUUCAAAUCCUCUCUCCUCCUCUCUCUCCUUCUCUCUCUCCUCCCCUCACUCUUCAUAUCCUCUCUCCUCCUCUCUCUCUCUUCAUAUCCUCUCUCACUCCUCCUCUCUCUUCAUAUCCUCUCUCACUCCUCCUCUCUCUCCUUCUCUCUCUCCUCCCCUCUCUCUUCAAAUCCUCUCUCCUCCUCUCUCUUCAUAUCCUCUCUCCUCCUCUCUCUUCAUAUCCUCUCUCCUCCUCCUUCUCUCUUUUCAUAUUCUCUCUCCUCCGCUCUCUCCGCCUCUCUCCACUCUCCUUCUCUCUCUUCAUAUCCUCUCUCAUCUGCUCUCUCCUCCCCUCUCUUCAUAUCCUCUCUCUCUCUCCUCUCUUCAUAUCCUCUCUCCUCCUCUCUCCUCUCUCCUCUCUCUUCAUAUCCUCUCUCUCUCCUCCGCUCUCUCCUUCAUAUCCUCUCUCUUCUCUCUCCUCCUCUCUCUCUCUUCAUAUCCUCUCUCCUCUGCUCUCUCCUCUGCUCUCUCCUCCUCUCUCCUUCUCUCUCUCCUUCUCUCUCUCUUCAUAUCCUCUCUCCUCUCUCUUCAUAUCCUCUCUCCUCUCUCUCCUUCUCUCUCUCCUCCGCUCUCUCCUUCAUAUCCUCUCCUCCUCUCUCCUUCUCUCUCUCCUCCGCUCUCUCCUUCUCUCUCUCCUCCGCUCUCUCCUUCAUAUCUUCUCUCCUCCGCUCUCUCUCUUCAUAUCCUCUCUCUCUCUCUCUUCAUAUCCUCUCUCCUCCUCUCUCCUUCUCUCUCUCCUCCGCUCUCUCCUUCAUAUCUUCUCUCCUCCUCUCUCCUUCUCUCUCUCCGCUCUCUCCUUCUCUCUCUCCUCCGCUCUCUCCUUCAUAUCUUCUCUCCUCCGCUCUCUCUCUUCAUAUCCUCUCUCUCUCUCUUCAUAUCCUCUCUCCUCCUCUCUCCUUCUCUCUCUCCUCCGCUCUCUCCUCUCUCUCCUCCACUCUCUCCUUCAUAUAUUCUCUCCUUUGCUCUCUCUUCAUAUCCUCUCUCUCUCUCUUCAUAUCCUCUCUCUCCUCUCUCUCCUUCUCUCUCUCUUUAUAUCCUCUCUCCUUCUCUCUCUUCAUAUCCUCUCUCCUUCUCUCUCUUCAUAUCCUCUCUCCUUCUCUCUCUCCUUAUCUCUCUCUUCAUAUCCUCUCUCCUUCUCUCUCUCUUCAUAUCCUCUCUCCUUCUUUCUCUCCUUCUCUCUCUUCAUAUCCUCUCUCCUUCUCUCUCUUUAUAUCCUCUCUCCUUCUCUCUCUUCAUAUCCUCUCUCUCCUCUCUCUCCUUCUCUCUCUCUUCAUAUCCUCUCUCCUUCUCUCUCUCUUCAUAUCCUCUCUCCUUCUCUCUCUUCAUAUCCUUUCUCCUUCUCUCUCUCCUCUCUCUCUUCAUAUCCUCUCUCCUCCUCCUCUCUCCUUAUCUCUCCCCUUCUCUCUCUCCUCCGCUCUCUCUCUUCAUAUCCUCUCUCAUCCGCUCUCUCUCUCUUCAUAUCCUCUCUCCUCCGCUCUCUCCUUCUCUCUCCUCCUCUCUCUCCUUCUCUCUCUCUUCAUAUCCUCUCUCCUUCUCUCCCUCCUUCUCUCUUUCUACAUAUCCUCUCUCCUUAUCUAUCUCCUUCUCUCUCUCUUCAUAUCCUCUUUCCUUCUCUCUCUCUUCAUAG